UAACGUAGGGGGCAAGCGUUGGUCCGGAAUUAUUGGGCGUAAAGGGUGCGUAGGCGGUUUGGUAAGUCUUGGUGUGAAAUCUACAGGCUCAACUUCGUAGUCUGCACGAGAAACUGCCGGGCUUGAGUAUGGGAGAGGUGAGGUGAAUUCCUGGUGUAGCGGUGAAAUGCGUAGAUAUCAGGAGGAACACCUGUGGCGAAAGCGGCUCACUGGACCAUAACUGACGCUGAUGCACGAAAGCUAGGGGAGCAAACAGG
rnacentral:rRNA from 1 species